UACGAAGGGGGCUAGCGUUGUUCGGAAUUACUGGGCGUAAAGCGCGCGCAGGCGGUUCUCCAAGUCAGUGGUGAAAGCCCGGAGCUCAACUCCGGAAUUGCCAUUGAAACUGUUGAACUUGAGGACGAGAGAGGUGAGUGGAAUUCCCAGUGUAGAGGUGAAAUUCGUAGAUAUUGGGAAGAACACCGGUGGCGAAGGCGGCUCACUGGCUCAUUUCUGACGCUCAGGCGCGACAGCGUGGGGAUCAAACAGG
rnacentral:rRNA from 1 species